CAUCUUUAUAGAAAUGACAAUAAACUCUUUUUUUGUGUGUGUACACAUUUAGUUUUAUUGUAACAAAGCAACUUGUACACUUUUAACGUUUAAAACUGAGCAUCAUCUUUCCUUUCCAAUGAAACAAAA